AAAUGGCGAAUAUCGACGAAGAGAGGAAACAGGUCAUAAAGCAUUCGGUAAAAAAACUUACUGAAGAACGAGGAGGAAGAGGAGAAUCUUCGUUUCUGAAUAACAACAAUUCCUCAGGAAGCAAAGAAGAAGGAGAACUUACUGCAUCUGAUAACGAUGAUCGAAAUGUUUGUUCCACCGAUCAGCUUACGAGCAGUGUUUCUGCUCCAUUGGAGCGGCAGGUUCACGUUGAUACAGUGAAUGGGAAUUCUCAGGAUACCCAGGCAGAAAAAAAUACUUCUUCCAGCAAAAUGGGUCGCUCAAUUGAUGCGCCUUCUAGUACACCUCAUGAAUCAGCUCAUCUGAAGAGUUCUAAAAAGAAUCGAGCAUUUUGUACCGUUUCUGAUUAGCUUCUCAGAUGAAAGUGGCAGUGACUGUGAAAAUUCUGGACGGAAGAAGAUUUCAGCAAGUAAAAACAGAACCUUUGCUGAGGAAAAAUUUAUUAAACCACCAGCACCUGCUCCUCGAAGACCUCAGAAAUUGCAAAAGAUUACUAGAAAUGAGGCAAAGUUGAUGCCAAGCAAAGGGGCUGUAAGUCAGAAUGUUUCUUCUUUAUUGACCAAACCUAAUGGAGGCACUUAUGGAAAUGCUGCCCGCUUGCAUUGUUUUACAAAGUUUAACAACUCAAAUAAGGUAGCUACCCUUGACCAUGGGAAAAGAGCAAAUGCACAUCUGAACUCUAGUAAACUUCAUGACUUGCGCCAA
rnacentral:misc_RNA from 1 species